AUGGUCACUCAGCCUACUAGGAGCCAGCCGGGGGCUGCAGUGGGAGGGCCGUCUGGCAUGGCCCUCUCUGUUACGCCGUCGGCCUCCUUCGGCUUCGCGUCGGUGGCGGUGGCGGUGGCUCCGCCUCCUCUCCGAAGGGCGGGCAAGAGCAAGGUGUUCGCUGGUUCUAGAGCCGGCCAACAAUCUCUCGUCAUCGACUUGGAAGCCACCAUGCGCGCGGUGGCAGGGAAACUUGUGGUGGCUAGAGUACUCUCAUCGUACUCAAUCGACCCAAGGGCGGUUGUUGGCGCUCUUCGCGGCCCUUGGAAGCUGCGGGGCAAUGCGGUGGCUCAGCGGGUCGAGGGCAAGGACGGGCGCUUCGUCAUCAAAUUCUCAGAGGAGGGCGACCUCAAGCACGUGCUUCGGGCUGGCCCGUGGCAUUUCAGGAACAACGCCGUGCUGAUCGCGGCGCUCGACGGGAAUACCAACCCCGUGGACGUGUGCCUGGUCUCUGUUUUGGUCUGGGUACAAAUCCAUGGGUUGCCAGUGCCACUCAAGGCUGAGGCCUUCUGCUGGGCUCUUGGUGAUCAGCUGGGUGUGGUGAAGGUGGUGGCGCACCAAAACCACCAGAUCGUCGGUGAGCAUCUUCGGGUUCAGAUCAUUCACAAGGUGGAUGAGCCACUAAGGAUGUCCGUUGCUUUCACUCUCUUUGGCAGCUCGGAGGAAAUCAGCUUCAAUGUAAAAUAUGAAAAACUGCCUAAAUUUUGCUUGUCUUGCGGUAUCGUGGGACACAUGACGGCCAAGCACUGUAGUAUUCCGGCCGAGCAACGCAAGGCGAUCUACUCCUCCGACCUCAAGGCGCCGGCCUGGAGUGGGUCGGUUCGGCAUCAUUUGGACUUCUGGGGCCUGGCGGGGGCCUCGGAAGAUGAGGUGUUCGCGCAGAACGCGAGGCUACCGGACAAGGUGAUCUCGGUGGUUGCCACGGCUGUCCAACAGCUCUCCGUGGCUACUGCUCUAGUGUUGGCAGAGGCUUGCCUUGGGGAGAAGGCUGGCUCGUUGUCUGCGUUGGACCCCGGGAUGCGUGUACUGGGCUAUUCCCUGGAGGGGAGGCCGGUGCUUGUUGGAUCCGGCUCCAAGGAUGGGGCCAUGGACAAGCUUCAGCAGGAGGCGUCCGGGCAAGCGGCCGGGGGCAUCGUCGACUCCAACAUAGAUAGCUCUGGUUCGGCUGUGAGAGCUGCUCAGCAGGGCCAGGAGGGCCUUACCGUUGCGGGCAAGGGGGCGGCCCUGGUGCAGCCGCCUCCUGCUGGUGGGGGCCGCGACCAAGGGGUGGUUCCCCUGAGCUUGGCGGCUGCUCCCAGGCCGCAACUGAUGGAGUCGCUGGGCGCGGCUUCCCUUGAGGGCCAGGGCGUGCUAGAGCCUGCCAUUUUGGCUGGUGGUGGAGCUGUGGGACUCCAGACUGUACCUGGGGUGAUGCAGCAGGCUGGUGGUGGCCAGUCUGUUGAUGCCGCGCUACUUGGGGAUGGUCUGGAGGUGGACUCGGAGGCGAGAGGUACCGGUGGGCUGCGGCCAAGCAUCGAAGCUAAGGGUCUGGAGACCAUUUGGGGCCGCUGGAAGCGUGUCCACAGGGAGGAGCGCGAGGAGCGUGCUGUGGUGCAAUACACCGGCGUCAAGCAUGCCAUGUUUUGGGUGCCCACUCUGCCUAAUAGUGGGAGUGAAUUGUCCAACCGCAAAACUGCCUUCGUCGAUAUCCUCGAAAACACAAUGAUGCCCAAGAAACGCGGUCCCGACGGCAGCCAAGAAUUCAUCAUCAACAUGAACAGUACUACACUAGUGCAGAACCAGGCUUUAGCGCCGGUUCGUAAGGGCCUUUAG
rnacentral:rRNA from 1 species